CUCCUGACUACAGGUCCUGUGU
rnacentral:miRNA from 1 species